GUUUUAUACAAUAUACAAUGUAUAUUCACUUUUACUACCAACUGAUAAAUUAAAACAAUCUUUACCAUUCAGUGAUAACAAGCACUUUAUUUUCGUUUUAAUAUUUUGUGAUGUAUUUAAAUGAGUAGUUAUUGUUGCAAACUCCAUUAGAAAUUUGAAUUGAGAUCAAUUUUGGAAAAAGGGAAAGGGGGAUGUGAAAAAAAAAGGGGGGUUAAAUUUUUCUUAUUUCAGAUUUCAUAAAUAAAAAGAAAAUUUUUCAACAGCAUAGUGAAUUGCUCAAAGGCAAAAAAAAUAUUUUAAGUUCAUUAGACCACAUCCAUUCUGUGUCAGAAACCUAUGCUGUGUCAACUAUUUAAUCACAAUCCAAAUUUAGAUCUGAAUCCAGCUUGAAUGUUGUGUCCAUACUUGCCCCAACCGUUCAAGGUUCAACCUCUGCGGUCGUAAAAAGCUGCGACCUG
rnacentral:lncRNA from 1 species